rnacentral:rRNA from 1 species
UACGUAGGGACCAAGCGUUGUUCGGAUUUACUGGGCGUAAAGGGCGCGUAGGCGGCGUGACAAGUCACUUGUGAAAUCUCUGAGCUUAACUCAGAACGGCCAAGUGAAACUGUUGUGCUAGAGUGCAGAAGGGGCAAUCGGAAUUCUUGGUGUAGCGGUGAAAUGCGUAGAUAUCGAGAGGAACACCUGCGGCGAAGGCGGGUUGCUGGGCUGACACUGACGCUGAGGCGCGAAAGCGUGGGGAGCGAACAGG